GGAUUCUGGAACCAACCCCCAUGGAUACCAAGAGAUGACUAUAUAUAAAAUACUGAAAGAGGCAUGGAGAGUGAUUUUCAGGCCUCUACCUAAAGCCCUGGAUAUUAGAAAUUACUGAAUUUCUUCUCAAGAAGGAAAUUACGCCAUACACCAGUGUUGCCACACACCCAGAGAACAAGAUGACCCGACGCCCCAGCCUGGUCAUGCCACAUGAGCUGAGCAGUGGGUGGGCCACUGAGCCAGUGACAGAAAUCACAAAUUACAAAACAUCAGAGUACUUUCUGGAAAUAAGUCUUCCUCUCCAGGGAGCAACACAUUUGACACUUGACUGGGAUACACUACCGGAUGCUCCAAGGGUAAUGGUUCUCAAGAAGGCAGAAGCGAUGGUGACCAACAGACCUCCUUAAAGGCUCAGAUGCUGGAGACCUUCCUACUCCUCUCGACCAUGCUAGGAUGACUACAGCAGAGUCCCUGAGUCCUUUGAUGCAAGGGUCCAGCAACCACCAAACAGACAAACCCUUCGGCCUGUCCUGGAGGGUGUUGAGUGGCAUGGCCCGGAGCUCACCCAGGGGAACCAUGCUCAGGAGGAGGAGACCAGAAGUUCUGAGAAGUUCCUAAGACCACCUGAAGAGAAGGAGCCUGCUGCUAAUGGUGUGGACACCGCAGUGUGCUUGAGGAGCCUUCAGAAACGAGAACGGCCAGACUGGUUCAAGCCCCAUCACAUCUCACGUGGACCAUGUGGGUGCUCAGUGCAUGCUAUGGAGUGAAUCAGCAGUGGGAUUGUUUUCUCAAUGACCUCCGAUAUCUGACGGUUCUCAGUGGUUCUAAAGAGUCCUGUCAGCAAAUGUAAUUUAUCUUCAAGGAAACUUUGGGAUUACAUGUCAUGAAAGACACGAGAUUAACAAAGGGGACUGGUGAAAUGCAAAGGUCAUUAGUCUUCGAGUUAGAACCACUCUUAAAAGAAGCCAACGGUUUCCAUUCUGCAAAGGAUCUGUGGAUUCAUUCAUCCUCAGCAACACAUAGGACAAGUAUUGAUGGCAAAAUGCUUGUUAAUUCUCCUAGGCUGUUAUUGCACUAUACAAUAUUAAUUAUGUGUUCUUAUAGAGCACACACUGGUGUGUGUGUGUGUGUGUGUACAUAUAUAUGUAUUUCAAAACCAGAAACAGUUAUAGAGAAAUGUCAUGGUUCCCCUUGUAGCUGAACCCAACUGUAU